UACGGAGGGAGCUAGCGUUGUUCGGAAUUACUGGGCGUAAAGCGUGCGUAGGCGGCUAUUCAAGUCAGAGGUGAAAGCCUGGAGCUCAACUCCAGAACUGCCUUUGAAACUAGGUAGCUAGAAUCAUGGAGAGGUUAGUGGAAUUCCGAGUGUAGAGGUGAAAUUCGUAGAUAUUCGGAAGAACACCAGUGGCGAAGGCGACUAACUGGACAUGUAUUGACGCUCAUGCACGAAAGCGUGGGGAGCAAACAGG
rnacentral:rRNA from 1 species